UACGAAGGGGGCUAGCGUUGCUCGGAAUCACUGGGCGUAAGGGUGCGCAGGCGGGUCUUUAAGUCAGGGGGGAAAUCCUGGAGCUCAACUCCAGAACUGCCUUUGAUACUGAGGAUCUUGAGUACGGGAGAGGUGAGUGGAACUGCGAGUGUAGAGGUGAAAUUCGUAGAUAUUCGCAAGAACACCAGUGGCGAAGGCGGCUCACUGGCCCGUUACUGACGCUGAGGCACGAAAGCGUGGGGAGCAAACAGG
rnacentral:rRNA from 1 species